UACAGGGGGGGCAAGCGUUGUUCGGAAUUACUGGGCGUAAAGGGUUUGUAGGUGGCUUGUUAAGUCAGACGUGAAAUCCCUCAGCUUAACUGGGGAACUGCGUCUGAUACUGGCGAGCUUGAGUGCAGGAGAGGAACGCGGAAUUCCAGGUGUAGCGGUGAAAUGCGUAGAUAUCUGGAGGAACACCGGUGGCGAAGGCGGCGUUCUGGACUGUAACUGACACUGAGAAACGAAAGCCAGGGGAGCAAACGGG
rnacentral:rRNA from 1 species